rnacentral:rRNA from 1 species
UGGGGAAUAUUGGACAAUGGGCGAAAGCCUGAUCCAGCCAUGCCGCGUGUGUGAAGAAGGUCUUCGGAUUGUAAAGCACUUUAAGUUGGGAGGAAGGGCAGUAAGCGAAUACCUUGCUGUUUUGAUGUUACCGACAGAAUAACCACCGGCUAACUUGGCGCCAGCAGCCGCGGUAAUACAGAGGGUGCAAGCGUUAAUCGGAAUUACUGGGCGUAAAGCGCGCGUAGGUGGUUCGUUAAGUUGAAUGUGAAAGCCCCGGGCUCAACCUGGGAACUGCAUCCAAGACGGGCGAGCUAGAGUAGGGCAGAGGGUGGUGGAAUUUCCUGUGUAGCGGUGAAAUGCGUAGAUAUAGGAAGGAACACCAGUGGCGAAGGCGACCACCUGGGCUCAUACUGACACUGAGGUGCGAAAGCGUGGGGAGCAAACAGG